rnacentral:rRNA from 1 species
CCUACGGGAGGCAGCAGUGGGGAAUAUUGCGCAAUGGGCGAAAGCCUGACGCAGCGACGCCGCGUGAGGGACGACGGCCUUCGGGUUGUAAACCUCUUUCAGCAGGGACGAAGCGAAAGUGACGGUACCUGCAGAAGAAGCACCGGCCAACUACGUGCCAGCAGCCGCGGUAAUACGUAGGGUGCAAGCGUUGUCCGGAAUUAUUGGGCGUAAAGAGCUCGUAGGCGGUUUGUCACGUCGGAUGUGAAAACUCGGGGCUCAACUCCGAGCCUGCAUACGAUACGGGCAGACUUGAGUUCGGCAGGGGAGACUGGAAUUCCUGGUGUAGCGGUGAAAUGCGCAGAUAUCAGGAGGAACACCGGUGGCGAAGGCGGGUCUCUGGGCCGAUACUGACGCUGAGGAGCGAAAGCGUGGGGAGCAAACAGGAUUAGAUACCCUGGUAGUCCACGCCGUAAACGGUGGGUGCUAGGUGUGGGGAACAUUCCACGUUCUCCGUGCCGCAGCUAACGCAUUAAGCACCCCGCCUGGGGAGUACGGCCGCAAGGCUAAAACUCAAAUGAAUUGACGG